GUAAGUGUGCAGGUAGAUAAGUGGGUAGGUAGGUAAGUGGGUAGGUAGGUAGAUAGGUGGGUAGGUGGGUAGAUAGGUGGGUAGGUGGGUAGAUAGGUGUGUAGGUAGAUAGGUGUGUAGAUAGAUAAGUGUGUAGGUAGAUAGAUAAGUGUGUAGGUAGAUAGAUAAGUGUGUAGGUAGAUAAGUGGGUAGGUAGGUAGAUAAGUGGGUAGGUAGAUAAGUGUGUAGGUAGGUAGAUAAGUGUGUAGGUAGGUAGAUAAGUGUGUAGGUAGGUAGAUAAGUGUGCAGGUAGGUAGAUAAGUGGGUAGGUAGAUAAGUGUGUAGGUAGGUAGAUAGGUGUGUAGGUAGAUAAGUGUGUAGGUAGGUAGAUAGGUGUGUAGGUAGAUAAGUGUGUAGGUCGGUAGAUAAGUGUGUAGGUAGAUAAGUGUGUAGGUCGGUAGAUAAGUGUGUAGGUCGGUAGAUAAGUGUGUAGGUAGGUAGAUAAGUGUGUAGGUAGGUAGAUACGUGUGUUGGUGGGUAGGUAGAUACGUGUGUUGGUGGGUAGGUAGAUACGUGUGUUGGUGGGUAGAUAGGUGUGUAGGUAGAUAAGUGUGUAGGUAGAUAAGUGUGUAGGUAGGUAGAUAAGUGUGUAGGUAGGUAGAUAAGUGUGUAGGUAGGUAGAUAAGUGUGUAGGUAGGUAGAUAAGUGUGUAGGUAGGUAGAUAAGUGUGUAGGUAGGUAGAUAAGUGGGUAGGUAGAUAAGUGGGUAGGUAGGUAGAUAAGUGUGUAGGUAGGUAGAUAAGUGGGUAGGUAGGUAGAUAAGUGGGUAGGUA
rnacentral:lncRNA from 1 species